ensembl:lncRNA
GGCAGCCAUCUGCAACCCAGGCAGAGGGUCUUCAAGAAGAAAUGAACAUGCUGGCACCUUGAUCUUGAACUUCCCAGCCUCCAGAACUACUGGCUCUUGCUGGCUUUGAUGAAGCAGGCUACCAUGUUGGGGAGAUCCACGUGAUGAGAAACUGAGAUCUGCUUCUGGUCAGCAGCCAGCAAGGAGCUAAGAUGCUCAGUCCAACAGCCUUUGAAGAAUGGAACCCUGCCAACAAUCACUGAAUGAGCUGGGAAGCAGAUCCUUCCUAGAUGAACCCUGAGCUUGCUGUACCCAGCUGUCACCUUCACUGAAGCUUUGGGAGAGACCUGAAGCAAAUGACUCAGCUAAUCUCUGCAUGGCAUCCUGAUCCACAGAAACAGCAUGAUAAUAAAUUUAACCGUGAAACUAAAGAAGCAGGAUCCCAAGUCAUCAAUAUCAAACAUAUUUAAGAUUUCUGGAGGAAGAAAUAAGAUCCUGGUGCCCAGAAUGAGAAGAGAGAGAAGAGCACCUUCAAACUGUGCUGAUGGGGAUCCCUGUGGCAGUCAUCGUGUGACAUGAUGACUGGGUGCCAGAUCUGCAGGACGACUGUGGUUCGGCAGAUUUAGGCUGACUUUGGCUGGUCUGGACUGGAUUCGAGGCUCUGGUCAAGUCCAGUAAAUGGAAUCCCCAUCUACCAUCCAUAAGUGGGAAAGCUACGGCUCAUUGUGGACUCAUCCUCACAUUUCUUCACAGAGCUGACCAUUCAACAUCUUUUGCUAAUUUCGUCGUCUCUUUUUCAUUUGGGAACUCUAUUAUACUACUGGUAGAACACCAGCGAAGACAAGGACAAAAGCUGUCAAAGGCCGGCCUUAGAGGACCUUUGUUGCAAGAAAAGAAAAACUUCAUUGCGAAGUCAGCAGCUCCAAGGAGAGCCUGAGCCAAGAACAUAUUACUCCCUAAAUUUUGUCAAUCAAACAUCAGUCCAUAAAGGAAGAAAAUCGCAGAAAAUCUGUAAAAGGGAAUAGAGAAUGAAAGACGUUUAAAAAAUAUCUUAAUGUCACUUUUCCUAUAUUUUGAAUAUUAUAUUUUUUCAUUACGAAUACAUCGUGCUAUGAAAAUUAGAGAUGCUAUAAAAAGCAAAGAUAAAAUGAUAUUAAACCUCUCUUCCACAAAAGCACAAAGACAAAAGGAAGUGAAAAAACCAGAUUUUUGUGCCAAACAAAAGGUUUGCUGUGGAGGACAAAAAUUAUCUUUGGGAUUUUCAGUUUGACGAGGUGGACUGAACUGUUACUUGCUCACUAAGAUUGGGAAAAUAAAGGCUUAAGUCCUAUUUUUACUUGGUGACCACUGACAUUUUUGAAAUAGUUUUGUGUCUUAAAUUUACACAUGUUGUACAUGUCUGAAGAGAUAGCGAUUUACUUAUUUGAAGAAUAGUGGCUUUUACUGUAUUUCUGGCCCUCAGUUUCUAUAUUUCUGAAAUAAUAUUUUUAGUGUUUUCCUCAGGGUUAAAUGAGUUAUAUCAUGAAGCCUGUAAGUAAUGUCAGUCUGAAUAAAUCUUAACAAGUAUUUAAUUAAAAUCAUUAUACUGAGAAAAAAAGAAAAUCUUAUCCCUUUCUGUAAAGAUUGUUUUUAAAAAAGUUCUUACAGUUGGAAAAGUGCUUCAUGAUGGAAAAAUGUUAACAGGAUAGAUUUCUACAUACCAGUGUAAUAUAUUACAUAAAAAAAACAAUAAUUAAGGAACAUGGUAUUUUAAGGCAUAGGUGGGACAUCUGAAAAUAAGGCCAUACGCAUG